AGCGGCAUCAUCACAUCAUUGAGAGGUUUUUGUACGACCAGUAAUAGAGGUUGUAUCACCGUGGUUGACUUUUGGUACUGGCACAAGACUCGAUGUUGGAAGUAACAAACCUCCGACCCUGACUGUCCUGCCUCCCUCCAGCGAGGAGCUUUCCAAAAAGACAACAGCCACACUGUUGUGUCUGGCCAACAAGGGCUUCCCCUCAGACUGGACCAUUAGCUGGAAAGUGAACGGCAACAGCCAGAAGCACAAUGGCAGUCGUGGGGUCCUGGAUAAGGAUGGCCUGUACACCUGGAGCAGCACCCUGACUCUGACUGUCCAGGAGUGGACCAAGGCAGAAACGGUGACCUGUGAGGCCCACCAGACCUCCCAGCCUCCAGUCACUCAGACCCUGAGAAAGGAUGACUGUUCAGGCUAGGAUCUGUCAUUCACAACCCUCAUUGGAGAGAACGCUUGUUCCUUUGCUUUGUUUUGGGGUCAGCCAUUCACUCUCAAGUAGAUUAAAAUGGGGCUUUUCUUGUUUAAUGUUUGUCUAUCCAUUUUUCUCUGUUGUAUUAGUGUUAGAUUGUAUACAUUCUGCUUAAAUUCAUUUCAGAUACUGUACGGCUUUUAAUGCUGUAAGUUUACAUUAAUACGUUUUGAAGUAUAAAUCUUUGAAAAUAAAAAUGUCUCUGGAGAA